GGUGGUGGCGGGGGUGGGG
rnacentral:miRNA from 1 species